CGCUGGCGGCGCGCCUAACACAUGCAAGUCGAACGGGGUUAUAGCACGAAGCUCGCUUCGGCAGGUGGAUGCCAUAACUUAGUGGCGAACGGGUGAGUAACACAUGGGUAACCUGCCCUUAGGAUUGGGAUACUCCCGGGAAACCGGGCACAAUACCGAAUAUGAUUCCGGGGUGAAAUUCCCAGGGAUAAAAGCUGCGAGCAAUCGUGGCGCCUAAGGAUGGGCCUGUGCCCUAUCAGCUAGUUGGUGAGGUAAUGGCUCACCAAGGCUAAGACGGGUAGCCGGACUGAGAGGUUGAUCGGCCACACUGGAACUGAGACACGGUCCAGACUCCUACGGGAGGCAGCAGUGAGGAAUUUUGCGCAAUGGGCGAAAGCCUGACGCAGCGACACCGCGUGGGGGAAGAAGGCCUUCGGGUUGUAAACCCCUUUCAUGAGGGAAAAAGUCCCGAGCAAUCGGGAUGAUGGUACCUCAAGAAGAAGCCACGGCUAACUCUGUGCCAGCAGCCGCGGUAAGACAGAGGUGGCAAGCGUUGUUCGGAUUUACUGGGCUUAAAGGGCGUGUAGGCGUCCUGAUAAGUCAGAUGUGGAAGCCUUAGGCUUAACCUAAGAAUUGCAUUUGAAACUAUCGGGAUUGAGUCAGGCAAGGGAGGGCAGAAUUCCUGGGUAGCGGUGAAAUGCGUAGAUAUCAGGAGGAAGGCCGGUGGCGAAGGCGGCCCUCUGGCAAUACUGACGCUGAGGCGCGAAAGCGUGGGUAGCAAACAGGAUUAGAUACCCUGGUAGUCCACGCCCUAAACGGUGGGUACUAGGUGUGGGUGGCGAUAGUCAUCCGUGCCGUAGGGAAACCAUUAAGUACCCCGCCUGGGGAGUACGGCCGCAAGGUUGAAACUCAAAGGAAUUGACGGGGGCCCGCACAAGCGGUGGAGCAUGUGGUUUAAUUCGACGCUACGCGAAAAACCUUACCUGGGCUUGACAUGCAGGUGGUAGGAACCCGAAAGGGCGACGACCCAUUCUUCGGAAUAGGAGCCUGCACAGGUGCUGCAUGGCUGUCGUCAGCUCGUGCCGUGAG
rnacentral:rRNA from 1 species